rnacentral:sRNA from 1 species
CAAGAUACUAUGUUUUCCCCUCAAGAUGAUAUGUAGUUCCCUCAAGAUAGUUAUCUCGUUCCCUCAACAUAGCAAUAAAAUUAUAUUAAUAUGAGGGAACAACAUAGUAUCUUGAGGGAACGACAUAAUAUCUUGAGGGAACGACAUAUCAUCUUGUGGGAACAACAUAGUAUCUUG